CAGGUAGCAAUACUUGGUGGCGACCGGCGGACGGGUGCGUAACGCGUAUGCAACCUACCUUAUACAGGGGGAUAGCCCGGGGAAACUCGGAUUAAUAUUCCAUAGUUCAGUAAAUUCGCAUGGGAUUACUGAUAAAACUCAGGUGGUAUAAGAUGGGCAUGCGUCUGAUUAGGUAGUUGGUAGGGUAACGGCCUACCAAGCCGACGAUCAGUAGGGGUUCUGAGAGGAUCAUCCCCCACACUGGUACUGAGACACGGACCAGACUCCUACGGGAGGCAGCAGUGAGGAAUAUUGGUCAAUGGGCGCAAGCCUGAACCAGCCAUCCCGCGUGAAGGAUGAAGGCCUUAUGGGUUGUAAACUUCUUUUGUACCUGAAGAAACCCUUCUACGUGUAGGAGGUUGCCGGUAAGGUACGAAUAAGCAUCGGCUAACUCCGUGCCAGCAGCCGCGGUAAUACGGAGGAUGCAAGCGUUAUCCGGAUUUAUUGGGUUUAAAGGGUGCGCAGGUGGUUGAAUAAGUCAGUGGUGAAAGUCUGCCGCUUAACGGUAGGAUUGCCAUUGAUACUGUUUAACUUGAGUUUGGAUGAGGUAGGCGGAAUGUGUAGUGUAGCGGUGAAAUGCAUAGAUAUUACACAAAAAC
rnacentral:rRNA from 1 species